GAAGAUUUAGUUAAUAUAUAUAUAACACUAGUAUGUCAAUCUAAAGUAAUCUAUAAAGAUAGUCUUCU
rnacentral:tRNA from 1 species